rnacentral:rRNA from 1 species
UACGAAGGGGGCUAGCGUUGCUCGGAAUCACUGGGCGUAAAGGGUGCGUAGGCGGGUCUUUAAGUCAGGGGUGAAAUCCCAGAGCUCAACUCUGGAACUGCCUUUGAUACUGGGUAUCUUGAGUAUGGAAGAGGUGAGUGGAAUUCCGAGUGUAGAGGUGAAAUUCGUAGAUAUUCGGAGGAACACCAGUGGCGAAGGCGGCUCACUGGUCCACUACUGACGCUGAGGUGCGAAAGCGUGGGGAGCAAACAGG